UAAACGUGGCCGGGUCUGCAAGCUAGGUGCCAGCGGGGAAAGUUUCCCUGCUUCUUAUCGUCUGCUUUAACGCCUUAAAUAGCCCGCUGAAGGCUGCAGCAGGUGCUAGGUAGCAUCCUCCCGGCCCUCGGGAAAGGCGGGGUGGGGAGGCGAGAGCAGCUUAGCCUUCUCGACCUCCCUUCCUGGUGACGGACGAACAGUUCCUGUAGAAUUUCGCUUCACCGAGUGACCUUGAGCCCAGGGCGACGGUCAACUUGUUAGUUCCUGGCUGCAGGAACUUUGUGAGAAUUUUAAUGCAUGGAAAAGCUGUCCAUGUUCCAACUGCUGUACAUCCAAAAGUCUCAGUGUAAUAGCAGGACCAAAAUAUUCUGUCAAUCAGCUGACCAUAUACUUAAUGACUCCUAAAAUCUCGUGGACUUCUAAGAAAGCGCCAUGGCCUGUGCUGCUGUUAUGAUUCCUGGGUUGUUGCGGUGCUCUGUUGGAGCCAUCCGUAUUGAGGCUGCUUCACUGAGAUUGACACUCAGCACUUUGCGCCACCUUACUCUAACCAGGUGAGUCAUUAAGACUUCUAUGUCAUUUGAAGUUAAUUUUCAAAGAGACCCGACCUGCUGACGGUUGUGGGAGGCAUAUCAAACUCCCGGAAAGGUAACACCUUAGCUUCAAUGUGCAUGCUGU
rnacentral:sRNA from 1 species